GCUGGCGGCAGGCCUACACAUGCAAGUCGAGCGGUAGAGAGAAGCUUGCUUCUCUUGAGAGCGGCGGACGGGUGAGUAAUGCCUAGGAAUCUGCCUGGUAGUGGGGGAUAACGUUCGGAAACGGACGCUAAUACCGCAUACGUCCUACGGGAGAAAGCAGGGGACCUUCGGGCCUUGCGCUAUCAGAUGAGCCUAGGUCGGAUUAGCUAGUUGGUGGGGUAAUGGCUCACCAAGGCGACGAUCCGUAACUGGUCUGAGAGGAUGAUCAGUCACACUGGAACUGAGACACGGUCCAGACUCCUACGGGAGGCAGCAGUGGGGAAUAUUGGACAAUGGGCGAAAGCCUGAUCCAGCCAUGCCGCGUGUGUGAAGAAGGUCUUCGGAUUGUAAAGCACUUUAAGUUGGGAGGAAGGGCAGUUACCUAAUACGUAAUUGUUUUGACGUUACCGACAGAAUAAGCACCGGCUAACUCUGUGCCAGCAGCCGCGGUAAUACAGAGGGUGCAAGCGUUAAUCGGAAUUACUGGGCGUAAAGCGCGCGUAGGUGGUUUGUUAAGUUGGAUGUGAAAUCCCCGGGCUCAACCUGGGAACUGCAUUCAAAACUGACUGACUAGAGUAUGGUAGAGGGUGGUGGAAUUUCCUGUGUAGCGGUGAAAUGCGUAGAUAUAGGAAGGAACACCAGUGGCGAAGGCGACCACCUGGACUAAUACUGACACUGAGGUGCGA
rnacentral:rRNA from 1 species